rnacentral:rRNA from 1 species
AGAAUGAACGUUGGCGGCGUGGAUUAGGCAUGCGAGUCGUACGAGAACCCGCAAGGGGGAAAGUGGCGAACGGGGUAGUAAGGCGUAGGUGACGUGCCCUAUGGUCGGGGAUAGCUUAGGGAAACUUAAGGUAAUACUCGAUGAUCCCGGGAGGUUUGAAGACCAUCCGGGCAAAGGUGUGAUUCCAUCAUGGGAGCGGCUUGCGUGGUAUUAGCUAGUUGGUGAGGUAACGGCUCACCAAGGCUUCGAUGCCUAGGGGAUGUUAGCGCAUGAUCCCCACCACUGGGACUGAGAUACUGCCCAGACACCUACGGGUGGCUGCAGUCGAGAAUCUUCGGCAAAUGGGCGAAAGCCUAGACCGAGCGACGCCGCGUGUGGGAUGAACGGCCCGUUGGGUGUAAACCGACUGUCAGAGGGAUGAAAUGACAGUCGGGGUCCUCCCCGUGUGUUUGACUAUA